rnacentral:lncRNA from 1 species
GUUGCCUUACACACUAUGCAAGCUUUGCUGUUUGCAGUAAAACUGGCUGCUGCUUGCUCUUUGGGUCCACACUGACUUUAUGAGCUGUAGCACUCACCAUGAAGGUUUGUAGCUUUACUCUUGAAGCCAGUGAGAUUAAAAACCCACCGGGAGGAACAAACAACUCCAGUACGCGCCGCCUUAGGAGCUGUAACACUCACGGCGAAGGUCUGCAGCUUCACUCCUGAGCCAGCCGCACCACGAACCUAUCAGAAGGAAGAAACUCCGAACACAUCCGAACGUCAGGAACAAACUCCGGCCACGCCGCCUUUAAGAACUGUAGAACUCGCUACAGCACUCACCGUGAAGGUCUGCGAUUUCAUUCUUGAAGUCAGUGAGACCAAGAACCCACCAAGUCCGGACACAAUGGGACCUGUAUGCAGUCUAUGGGGCAGUUCAGACCAAAGGGCUGGGCGUGGCACCACAGCUGCCCCGAGCCCUUGGCCUCUCUGAGCUUUUCUCUCUCACCUGAGAAAUGGGAUUUCAAGGAAAAUGAGUAGCGGUAACUUACCCACCUUACUCCACGGUUACUGUGAAGCGCCCAGAAGAGAAGCCAUGGAUGUGGGCGACGCAUUCGAGCCAAAGCAGCUGAAUCACCAAGGCCAUGAAACGAAUGAGGAUCUGCCUGAUGUUCACCAGGCUGGCCCCUCCAGAUCACUGCAAAGUGGGGCAAGAUGAGAACAGCGCCAGGGGUUGAUGACACCCAGGGCGCC